UGCGCAGGCGGUUUUGUAAGACAGGCGUGAAGUCCCCGGGCUUAACCUGGGAACUGCGUUUGUGACUGCAAGGCUAGAGUACGGCAGAGGGGGGUGGAAUUCCACGUGUAGCAGUGAAAUGCGUAGAGAUGUGGAGGAACACCAAUGGCGAAGGCAGCCCCCUGGGUCGAUACUGACGCUCAUGCACGAAAGCGUGGGUAGCAAACA
rnacentral:rRNA from 1 species